rnacentral:lncRNA from 1 species
GUCCAUCCAUUAUCCCUUGUGGUUUGCAUUCUUUUCCUUGCAAAAUAAUUUUACAACUAUCCUUGUUCAAUACCGCCUGCAUCUUCAUCUUCUAAAGUGCAAAGUUUGAUCCAUCAAACCUCAGUAUCUCAUAUUUUAUUGUCGUCACCUUAUCCAUCAUUAUUUCAAAUCAAACCAGCUACAAAAGAAUCUCUUUGAUUUGAUACCAAAUUGAUAGAAUCGAUCGAGGGGUAAUCGAGCGCA